UACGUAGGGGGCUAGCGUUGUCCGGAUUCAUUGGGCGUAAAGCGCUCGUAGGCGGCCCGGUAAGUCCGCUGUGAAAGUCAAAGGCUCAACCUUUGAAUGUCAGUGGAUACUGCCGGGCUAGAGUCCGGAAGAGGCGAGUGGAACUCCUGGUGUAGCGGUGGAAUGCGCAGAUAUCAGGAAGAACACCGACGGCGAAGGCAGCUCGCUGGGACGGUACUGACGCUGAGGCGCGAAAGCGUGGGGAGCGAACAGG
rnacentral:rRNA from 1 species